UGGGAGCAGCAGUGGGGAUUAUUUGUUAAGGGAUGGGGAGGGAAGUUCCUGAUCUCCCGGGUGUAUGAGGAAGGCGUUCGGGUGGUAAAGUAUUUGUGGCUGAGAAAAAAAGGUAUCCCGUAAUACGGGAUGGUGCUGACGGUAUCUGCAGAAUAAGCACCGGCUAAUUACGUGCCAGCAGCCGCGGUAAUACGUAGGGUGCAAGCGUUAAUCGGAAUUACUGGGCGUAAAGCGUGUGUAGGCGGUUCGGAAAGAAAGAUGUGAAAUCCCAGGGCUCAACCUUGGAACUGCAUUUUUAACUGCCGAGCUAGAGUAUGUCAGAGGGGGGUAGAAUUCCACGUGUAGCAGUGAAAUGCGUAGAUAUGUGGAGGAAUACCGAUGGCGAAGGCAGCCCCCUGGGAUAAUACUGACGCUCAGACACGAAAGCGUGGGGAGCAAACAGGAUUAGAUACCCUGGUAGUCCACGCC
rnacentral:rRNA from 1 species